GCCUUCGUGGUGGAAUGGUUAGCACACUGAGCCUGUAUUUCAGAGGUCCGUGGUUCGAUCCCCGGCGAAGGAA
rnacentral:tRNA from 1 species